CCUGGCAAUGACGACCCGCUUGCCCUCCCUGAGAAUGCCGUUCGGUAAUGAGAGCCUCCCGUGUACUCCGGUGAGCUGAGCCAGG
ensembl:snoRNA